CAGGAAGAAGACAUGAACACACAGCCUACUCUAGCACUUCCUGACUUCUGGUCUGAACCACUGCAGGCAUGUGGCUGUAUUUCCUGAAUCAAAGGUCCAAGAGGAGAACAGGUUCCAUGCAGCUGCUGCUCUCCCCUACAGGCAUGUGGGCAAAUCCUAAGCACUGAUAAUACCAGGAGCAGAAAAUGUGCUACAUUCUGUGAGGGGCUGCAAUAAAUUCUUCCUGAUGAAGAAUUUGCAGCCGUAAUGUUGGAUCUAAUGUGCAGGGUGAUAUUUUAUUGAUUCACUACCCCACACCUAUUAGUUUUGUACAAUGAAUAACAUUAUACAAUCAUCACAAGACUGGUUGUCUCUGUCUGAAUCUUGGAUUUAAAAAAAUGAUUCCACUAAAGUUUAAAAAAAUGUUCCACUCUAUAGGUAAAUAUUCAUCUUUAAAAUAUAAUUAAAGGAGCACAUGCAAACAACUACCAGGAAAAACAAACAUUUAUUCUUAACAACCUAGAAAACUGUUCUUUGCCAUAGUAACACUUACUGGCAAGUUCAGUUAAUAGAAUAAUUGUAACUUUCACUGCUGCUAAAUAAAAAACAUAAAACUUGUCUGGAAACUGUAAUAAAUGUCCACAGAAAUAAACUUGACUACAUUAUUUAUGUCCUUGCAGGAAGGAUGAUAUUGGUAGGAUCAGAAAGUCUUAUCUUUGCUGAUAAAAUCUAACAGUUACAAAAACUGGUAUUUGUGUCUACUCAAAUAGGUUAAAACCUGUUCAGAAGUUCCAGAAAGAACUUCUAGUUUAAAAGGCCUUUUUUAAGUUUAGCUAAUUUUAAUAUUAUGAUUUAUCACUAUUUUAAAGCAUUCAAUAUUCAUUUCACACAAUUUUAAUAAAACAUACACAUCUUGAACAAGCAAACAUAAAAGAAAAAGGAGGCCAGAGGUUUUAUGUUAUGUAUCUUAAACUAACAACAUUAAGUAAACUAAUUAUUUUAAAUAGCAGUGGUUUUUGCCUAAAGAAAUAAAUAAACACUACACAACACAAUUGAAUCAAUCUUUAGUCUCGAUCCUGAACAAGAGUAAAACAAAUCUCCAAAGUCAACAACCUUGGAAAUGAUAGUUUUACUUACUGUAAGUCUACAAUCCAAGUUAUAUCAAACUUCUAAUCUAUAGCAUAUGCAUUGUCAACUCACAAGCAUAAGUAAUAUCCAAUAGCUGUUUGCCUUUCCAGAUGAUAUAUAGACCAUGAGGACUAUGUCAGCAGAAACCUACUUGUACAAAUCAUCAGGUUAAAAAAUACAGUCUUGCAACUCCAGAUAUUCUUAGUUUGGUACUGUACAAAACCUUGACAAGGUCUAAAAAAUAUACUGACUGCUUUAAUAUAUGCAUGUGUUCUACAACCACUGUUGUUUACACAAUAAAAAAGUUUCCACUAGUUUGAAAGAGAUUACUAAUUUUAGCAGUGCUUUCUAAAAUAAGUGCAAAACCAGAAAAU